rnacentral:lncRNA from 1 species
AAGCAGUUACCAGGAUAGAAGGAGUGUGUGACAACACUAUGAGCACCACAGAAUGUAAAGAGGAAAAUUAGUAUUGCCUACCCUUUUUUGUGUGCAAAAUGGCACAAUUAUAAUGACACUUCAACUUUCAAACUAACCAGUAUCUUCCUACCCAGCAGUAACUUGUGAUCAAACCGAGUUGAACAUGCAUUUUUCCCCUUUGAGACCUUGUUCUUAAAAAUUGCUUUUAGCAUGACUCACGGGCAAAGAUUAAGUUGUAAUGACAAAAAGGAGAGGACUGGUUCUGCUUUUAUCAUGGGAGGUUGAAAUUAAUGAAGUCUCUUUCCAGUGUGAUCGUACCAAACUCACAGUCCUAUGGAGGUGGUACCUUUUAUCAACACCAGAAAGUUAAGAGGAGCUGAGGAGUGAAUGCAGGUGAAAAAAAAAUAUAUAAAAAUAGUGCACAUUCAAUUUUUGCCCUGCACAGACCCAGCCUUUUGCCUCACCAAGCGCUUCAACCACGCACUUAGAGACUAGCAAUCCAUACAAAUAGGAUGUCUUAGCUUCACUAGAGACCGAAAUAAAUUAAUUUUUUUUGUUACAGCUUACUUAAUUCCCGUGAUAUAAUUUUAACACUAGUAAUAAAAAUGUUAAUAUUCACUUGAUUACAGUUUUAACAAGCUCUCAUCUUGCUUUCAGCACAGUCAGCUAUUGUCAAACAAGAGGAACUUGAUGGGCAAAGAGGACUAUGGAAGACUUGCUCUGAAGGCACGUCCUCGGUGAGGAUGUGGGCAGGAUGGAGGUAAGCAGCUCCAAAAAAAAAUUAAAAAUCUAGCCUUGCCUGGACCUGUCUGUUGUAGUGAUGGGAUUCUGCUCCUUCUUUUAUCCUUUCUCAAACAGCGCUUGGGUCACUGGGCCUAGAACAGGGUCUGUGGUCCAUGGCAAAUGAACUCAAUGUAACUCUCCCUCCUCUCUCACUGCAGUUCCCAAGACAAACAGCGACUUGGAGAAGACUUUUCUUAGAAAUGAGACACAAGGAAAUUAUAAAACUGGAGACCAGACUGGAAGAUUUCUUGCCACAGUGACACUUCAACUGCACACAGAAGGCUUGAGUGAGCUACUGAGAAGACAGAGAUGAUAAAAAGUAUCUAGCAAGAAGUUGCUAGCUUAUCUCUGCAGGCAAGAUAUUUCUGUAAGUAAACAACAGACUGACCUUGUAUGUCUAUAGAUAAAUUGGUAAAGUUAUAAAGCUGAUUUCUGAAGCUCUCCCUGAUCCUACAUUGUAUUACUUGUGUAAAUGUACCUAUUUAUGUAGUGAAAGAGCCUGGCCCUGUGGAUUGAGGCAAGCUUGUUUUCUCAUGAGGUUUCUAUGUUAUUCUAGGAUGGUGUGAACCUUUGGUUUUUGUUAAUCUUGACUGGAUUCAUAUCACAGCUGAAUGUCAAUAGGCUAAGUGAUCCUGUUGCACAUUAUUAGUCAUCUAAAAUUUCUU